UCUUAGAAUGUCUCAAGUCUCAUGCCAAGAAUGGCAACUGCAGAGUAAUAGUUGUAGUACAGACAAAGUGCCCAUGAUACCAGUGGAUGCAGCCUGUGAGCUGUGCUCUGCCCUGAUGCUUAGGGUAAAUUUAUCAAUUUUUCUGAAAUUGUACCUCAUGUUAUCCAUGUUCAGUUUGGACGUUCUUUGCUAAUUAAGAUGAUUUCUUCCUGUUAUGUGUCGUAACAUUUUCUCAAUGUGGUUUUAACGAUCAUUGGGGUUCUAACUGAGACAAAAGUUUUUUUUUUCGAGAAAACGCAAAGGACCCGUUUCAUUUCUUUGAAAAGAUGGAAGACCUACUAGGAGGUGGUUGAUACAUAGUUAUGUGUUCAGUCAAUGGACGUCCCAGGUUGUGGGCAGAACAACCCAAAGCCCCUGGGCGCCUGCCUUUGCCCAACACCGGCCUCCUCUUUGAUCCUAUUCACUAACGUUUCAAUGGAUGGUGUAUUGUUGUCGAAAACGCAUGCAUUCCUGUGCUUCCAUAUCAUCCAGGGGACGAGCAAUGCAAUGGACUUAAGGGCCUUCCGAUGUGCCGGCGGUGUGCGCUCCUUUGCGCGCAGCCACCACUCCAUGACGUUGGGUUCUUGAUCCGGCGGCUGGGCCGGCAAAUGCAGCCAGCCGAGGAUGAUAUGCCAUGCCUGACGGGCAAAGGGGCUGGGCCAGCAAAAGUUAAGGUGAGAACUUCAGAAUAAUCCCAAGCAGGUAAGCACUCCGGGAGUUCACCCACAUCCAAAUGGUAUGUGCAAAACCUCUUAUUCGCACUGCUCGUGGAGUUAUAGAUAGCAUCCACAUCAUGAGAUUUUGUAACAACGUUCUAAAAUUUGCAGUGAAUGACAUAGGAAUUAAGAUAUGGCAUGCAGUUGAGAUUAUAAGAGUUUGUCACACUAAACAAAUUUAUGUAAUGCUUAGUGAAUUUCCCAUGUAUUGAUUUUGUGUGACCUGCAACUGUUAGAACUGUUAUCAGCUUUGGUCUGGAUUACAUUAUACACAUAACAAAACUGAACUGGUAACAAUUAAGUUUCUAGGUUGCAGCACCGUACUACUUUGUGUAGAAUCAAAUUACUCUUUGUAGCUACCGAGUCCCAUUCUUGAUGGUGAAAUUCUUCACUGUCCUUUUUAGUCUGCUCCAGAUUCAGGAUAGAUGUACCAUUUGGAAGUGGCAGAAACCAAGUCAGCUCCUACUUCCAGACUUCCAGCUAUGUGUAGGAUGGUUGAGAUUCUUUUCAAUGUACCAUGCUUCUCAUUUAGUCCUGAACUGCUUAAAUACAUAGUAUGUUCAUUUUUUGAGAAAGUACAAAGUAGUACAACAACAACAACAUUAACAAAGCCUUUAGUCCCAAACAAGUUGGGGUAGGCUAGAGGUCAAACCCAUAAGAUCUCGCGACCAACUCAUGGCUCUGGCACAUGGAUAGCAAGCUUCCACGCACCCCUGUCCAUAGCUAGUUCUUUGGUGAUACUCCAAUCCUUCAGGUCUCUUUAACGGACUCCGCCCAUGUCAAAUUUGGUCUACCAGAAAGUACAAAGUAGUGUGCAAGAUAUUUUGGUGAUACCCAUAAUCAGGGUGUUUGUUUACUUGUUGUCCAUCUAGGUCAUAGGCGCGUAUAAGAAUUAUUGGUAUAUCUAUGUAGAAGAAGAGAGCCUACUGCAUAUGCAGGGCGUAUCAUAUCUUUUAAUGUGAACAAGCUACAGUGAAUGCAAUGUUGUAAAUUCAAGAUAUUCUUCAAAGUGAUCUUUUGCUUUUAUUGGAGUUUCUCAUUGCUUCCCAGUUUUAGUGUAAUCAGUUCUCCCUUUAAGGUCGUGAAUUAGUUCCAUCUGCAAAUAUGUAUGCUUCCUUAUUUUGUAUUUACAUAUAUGCCAGUGAAGUUGUCUGUGGACUUCUCUUUGCAAUUAGAAAACAUUUUCUUCUUAAUUUGUCGCAGUGAACACAACAAGUUAUUUAGGCUAAAUUAUACUUUAUGUUGGAAGUCAAUAAGCCAAGACUUCAACUUUGUUUCUGUUUUCAAAGCUUUAGCAUUGGAAUACGUUCUGAAUCGGCACCGUUGAUAUGUGCUUAAAUUGUUAGCUUGCUUCUUGCAAGUGCAUACUCUAUCAGAUGUUGGUACCACUUACCAUGUUGUAAAUCGCGAACCAAUGGAAUUGGACUUGAGCUGAAUGAUUUUCUUCAUUUUUAUUGCGAGCAGAUUCUUUUUCCUACUAUUAGGACUAUGCACCUUUAUAGUCAUUUUUCUCCUCUUGCUAUCAUAAAGUUACAGCAGUCUAGAGAUACUUGAAAGUUUGUUGUCCUUUAGGCCUAUGAUGAUGAUGAUUGAUGAGCCAUACCGAUCAUAGGAAUACCUUCAUAUUUUAAGAGCUCGAUUUUUUUUAUAAGUAUAGAUACUUGUGGGCAUGAAAAAUGAUGGUCUGCAUGUAUAUUUGAUGGUUUAAUCUCCUUCUCACAUUGUGAUGCGUGACAUCUCAGUCAUUUUCAUUUUGUGGUUGAUGCUCACACGAUGUUGUGAAAUAUUUUUAUUGCUAUGGAUCCCAGGAACGACCAGUUUAAAGCUUCCUAAUUUCAGUACUGCUUGAGAAGGGUUCCUUUUGAUGCUUACGUGCACAUCCAAGCCAGGAAAGGACAAAAUCCUUGAGCAGAGCUAUUGAAUUUUCUUAUGAUGAUCAAAUGAGUUAUCUGUCCACAUUUUUAUGUUUAGAACAUGGUUUCCUAAGUUGCCUGGUUCAAAUGGUUUAUCAUUUUGUCAUAUGGAUAUUGAUUUGCCUCCUCUAUUAUAUACCUGGGUAUGGAGCUUCUAGGUGUUUAUGUGCCAAGAUCCAAUGAAGUGAGGAUCGGGUGGCGAGGCCGACACGGCGGCUCACGGACUGGUUUGUCAGGGUGUUGGUGAACAUCACCAACGAGGCCAGAAUCUCCAGAAGGGAGUACCAGGGGACGGCGGCAACAAUGACUUCUAGCGAUGCUGCAGUCGUGGCCUUGGCAGAAUAGGGCAGACGACCCAGCCUGCACAACCCGCUGUUGUGGCUUGAGUGCAUGGGUUGCGGGUACUCGAUGUGAUCUUUGGGGACUUGAAAUGUUAAAUCUGUUGUGACUGUAUUUCUCUUUUCCUCUGAUUGAACAUGCAUUUGUCACUGUUGGAACUCACUCAAUUUAGCACCUCAUGGCAAAUGCGGAUUCACCACUUUUC